GAUGAACGCUGGCGGCGUGCCUAAUACAUGCAAGUCGAGCGAACAGACGAGGAGCUUGCUCCUCUGACGUUAGCGGCGCACGGGUGAGUAACACGUGGAUAACCUACCUAUAAGACUGGGAUAACUUCGGGAAACCGGAGCUAAUACCGGAUAAUAUAUUGAACCGCAUGGUUCAAUAGUGAAAGACGGUUUUGCUGUCACUUAUAGAUGGAUCCGCGCCGCAUUAGCUAGUUGGUAAGGUAACGGCUUACCAAGGCAACGAUGCGUAGCCGACCUGAGAGGGUGAUCGGCCACACUGGAACUGAGACACGGUCCAGACUCCUACGGGAGGCAGCAGUAGGGAAUCUUCCGCAAUGGGCGAAAGCCUGACGGAGCAACGCCGCGUGAGUGAUGAAGGUCUUCGGAUCGUAAAACUCUGUUAUUAGGGAAGAACAAAUGUGUAAGUAACUAUGCACGUCUUGACGGUACCUAAUCAGAAAGCCACGGCUAACUACGUG
rnacentral:rRNA from 1 species